AUGUGGUUGAGUGGUUUCUGUGGCUCUGGAGGAAGGAUACCAGUGCUGGAGUUCCUGCUUGGAGUUCAGUGGGAUGACAAAGGCUGUCCCAGAGAUCAGCCCUGUGAAAAGGAGCUGGCUUUGCUCAGAUAUUUACAGCAUCUCACUCAGGCAGAUGUGUUCAGUGUGUCACACCCUUCACCUGUGAAACAAGGAAAUCAGGGAGACUGUUCCUACUCUGUCUGCCCUCAGAUGGGGCUCAUGUUUGGCUUCUUUACUUGUGAAACUGCUUAUUAUUCAUAUUUCAGAUUUUCACCUGUCACAAACUGUUCCAGACAAAAGCUUCAGAGGGAGAAGGUUCCUGGUGACCAGACAUGUUCUGCCUCUUCACAAAGAGAAUUUCACCCCAAAUUUGUUACCCCUUAAGCUCAAGAGUCAAGUAAAACCUGGCCAAUGGGAAAUUCCACAUGCUGACCCCUUUGAAAGGACUCCUGGCAUUUGAGGGAGAAGUUACUGCCAACACUUCCCUAAGGAAUGGGAGCUACUGGAGCUGCAGUGGGAACAGACUCAUCUUUGCCACCAGCACAGAGCAAAUCCUUCUUGAGCAGACUGCCCCCAUCAGAAAAGAUCUGCACAAAAUGUUCAUAGACAUGAAGCCAGAAAAGCUGAGUGAAGUUGAGAGGGAUUAACAGUGAAAUUUGGUCUGGCCACUUGCAAAGCUGUAAAGUGCAGCAGGAUGGAGUUUGCUUUUCCAUUUGGGAGCUGUGGAAGUCUGAGGAGGAUGCUCUGUUUGGAAUGGAGAAGGAAGGUCUGUUGAUUACAGAUCUGUUGUCUGGCUCAUCAAACCUUUGGAUAUUAUAAGAAAUACAAGAAAUACAGUUAAAAAGUUGAACAAAUAAAUGUGUACAAUGGAUAGAGAUCCCCCA
rnacentral:lncRNA from 1 species